rnacentral:snoRNA from 1 species
AUCUCGUAGUGAGGGCAUUACGUACUAACUCUUUAAAUCUUUCUCAUGCCUCAUGUAAGGAUUCAUCAAUCAAUUGCUAAAAAGUGGUGAUCUCAUUCCACAACUU